rnacentral:tmRNA from 1 species
GGGGGCGAUAGGUUUCGACGGCAGGAUGGAGGGCCUUGUGAAGCGUGCCGAGUUCUCCGCAUCUCGUUAAAAAGCGGAAUCGCACAAUAAGUGCCAACGAAAAUUACGCUCUGGCUGCUUAAUUGAAGUAGCCCGUCCUUGAAAGCCUUUUCCGCUUGGGCUUUCAAAGGGCGUCACAUAAAGCGGAUGCCCUGAUAACCGCGCUUCCCGGUUAUCAGGAAAGAUAAAGGAAGCUAGGAAACAGGAAUCCUGUCCCUGGGAGACCUGUUUCGACACUGAAACAGGGACUGCGCACGGAGAAACACAGGGUUGGCCCCUGUCGGACCGGGGUUCGAUUCCCCGCGCCUCCACCA